rnacentral:lncRNA from 1 species
UUUGAAUUGUGUUAGUAAAUGAACAUUCAUCUAGACAUAGAGUUUUGUUUAGGAAUGUGUCUAAGCUUAAGGUUGGUAGUUGAUUGAUCGUUUGCCAUCCUUAGUUCGAAACUUGAUCACCCGAGGUCUAAUCCCUAUAUCCAUGAGUUCUCUUUUCUCAUAGUUAAGAAAGUAUCAUUUAGUUAUUCCUUUUAGUUAGUUAUAGUUCAAAAACCCUUUUAAAAACCAUUGGUUGCACUUAGAUUAAGUGAUUACUUGCAUUCUCAG